GAUGAACGCUGGCGGCGUGCCUAAUACAUGCAAGUCGAGCGAACAGACGAGGAGCUUGCUCCUCUGACGUUAGCGGCGGACGGGUGAGUAACACGUGGAUAACCUACCUAUAAGACUGGGACAACUUCGGGAAACCGGAGCUAAUACCGGAUAAUAUAUUCACCCGCAUGGUUCAAUAGUGAAAGAUGGUUUUGCUGUCACUUAUAGAUGGAUCCGCGCCGCAUUAGCUAGUUGGUAAGGUAACGGCUUACCAAGGCAACGAAGGGUAGCCGACCUGAGAGGGGGAUCGGCCGCACUGGAGCUGAGACGCGGUCCAGACUCCUACGGGAGGCAGCAGUAGGGAAUCUGCGGCAAUGGGCGAAAGCCUGACGGAGCAACGCCGCGUGAGUGAUGAAGGUCUUCGGAUCGUAAAACUCUGUUAUUAGGGAAGAACAAAUGUGUAAGUAACUAUGCACGUCUUGACGGUACCUAAACAGAAAGCCACGGCUAACUACGUG
rnacentral:rRNA from 1 species